rnacentral:rRNA from 1 species
GAUGAACGCUAGCGACAGGCUUAACACAUGCAAGUCGAGGGGCAGCGAGGGCGUAGCAAUACGCCUGUCGGCGACCGGCGCACUGGUGAGUAACACGUAUGCGACCUGCCCCCUACAGGGGUAUAACCCGUAGAAAUGCGGACUAAUACCCCAUAAUAUUCCGACAGGCAUCUGUCGGAGUUGAAAGCUUCGGUGGUUGGAGAUGGGCAUGCGUUGUAUUAGCUGGAUGGUGAGGUAACGGCUCACCAUGGCGAUGAUACAUAGGGGGACUGAGAGGUUUUCCCCCCACACUGGUACUGAGACACGGACCAG